CGGUUCCGGGACCGCGCGGCCCGCGUGUCUGCGGGAGAAGGACGCUCCCCGCCCACUGUCUGAGGUUAUGCCGGUUUCCCGCGGCCUGAGCCCGCUUCCUGCCGGGGUUUGUGUGGACCUGACCGAGCUGGGACCCCGGCCGGGCAGGAGGUGACGGGUGUGCUGUCGGGCCCGCUUCGACUAUUCUCAUCGCCCUCCGGGAGCGGGUGAGUGUCCGUGUCCAUCCGGGCCGCGGGGGUGUUCACGCCCCUGGUCCUCGCCGCCCGGGUCCCCCCUCCCCCGUGUGAUCGGAGGCCAUUUGAAUAUGUUCACCCAUGAAGUGAAACAGACUACCUGAAGUCUGAGUCCUGAGAGACAUCUCCGGUGAAAUGCUUCUUAGACAGUGACCCAGGACACAGCCCUAGCAGUGGCGUGGUGAUGUGUGGAAGCCUGAUUCAGACCUGCGUCUCUGAAUCCCCAUGGCUAGUACUGCUUUUCUUCUCAAGUCUGCUCUAUGUCCAUCUUUCAGAGGUCCUGGCCUCUCUUGCCUACUGCCUGGGGAGGAUUAGCCCACACACCUGAAGAAGUGCUGCUCAUCCUGGAUUUUCAGAUAUUCCAAUCUAUGAUCCACAUCAUCCAGAAGAGUGAGGCAAUUCUGUAUAUGGAGGAGGAAAUGGUUUGUUAAUUUAACUACUAAUCUUGAAA